rnacentral:lncRNA from 1 species
UAAAAAUCUGCAUUACAGCCCAGAACAUGGCUUGUCUUUCACAUCACUGUCACCACUGUUGAAACGCACCACCCACCACCUCACUGUGUUCACAUCCACUGUUUGUUCUUCAUGAACACUGAGCAAACUUUGAUGAAUGUCAAUGGGUACAAUAUUUUCUGCAUGGAGGAAUUCAGUUACUCACCUUUGCUUUAUAAGCACUUCCAUGUCAGACACCAUUCUGUCAGCCUGCUCCUCUGCUGCCAUCUGUGACACGGCAACAACAUGUAACAGAAUACUGGCAGGAAGGUUCCACCUCUACUGCCGUACCACCACCAUCUGCCUCUGGCAUCAUGGGCCAAUGUAAUAUAAAUAGGAGGCAUUACUUUUGUAGCAGACUUCACAAAUGAUUGCAUUUCAGUGCUUGAAAAUGCUGGACAGAAACAAACCUGAAGCCUAGCUCUGAACUAUAGAGAGAAAUUCUGACCAUUUCAAGACUAUCUUUUCUCUGAAUUUAUGUCACUGUUCUGCUUGUUCUCCUGACGUCAACCAGGGAAGAAUUAGGGAAGAUAUGGACAUCAUGAACUAGUUGCUAAACCAUCCAUAAAUGACUGAAGCAAAUACUGGCAAUGAUUUGCAGCUCCUGGAACAACUGAAUAACAUUGUUGAUAAAUUAUGGAACCUGACAAGAAAACAGAGGGAAAGAGGAAGCCAAAAAUCUUCUGAAUAUGAGGAAGUCUGUGACAGAGCUCUGAGCACUGGAGCUACAGCAAAAAGGAAAUUGUCUUACUAUGCUGAAUAUGUGUUCAGAGAGUACUCAGAAGUUGAUGUUUGCUGUGAGGACAUCUUCCUUAAGAAAAUAAUGAGUUACAACUUGCGAAAAUCAAAACAAGAGAAAAGGAACCAUGUUUCCAGUUUGAGCAUUUCAGUUCGUGUUUCUGUGUCCUGCUGAUAACUCUCUGCUUCUUUCCCAUGCUACCGAGUGACCACAUCUUCAGGGUCACGUGUAGAUGGUUUUGCAGGAGGAUUUGUACUGGCUAAAGAAUUUAGCCUAAAGCUAAAUUCUACUAAUGCUGUCCAAGAAACAGUACAUUCAUAUGAAUAGCAUUUGUGAUAGUGAAUACUCAGCAGUGGAUCUGUUACCAUUUAAUAGGGAUUGUAUCUUGUUUUAGAGAAAAAUAUUUGGAGUCUUACUGAAAAAAUUCUUGUUUCUGUUACAUAAUCAUCCUAAAACUCAGUUCUUAAAGGAUGUUUGUUGUUUUUCCUUUGCAAAGAUCAAGUCAAUAAUUUUUAACUCCUUCAGGUGAGCUCUUGCUUGAUUUGCGAUGUAUGUGUCACAUUUCAGUAAUGUCAACCUGAACUUUUCACUCAAAUUAGGAUAGUAUAAUAUAUUUUUAUUAUUAUGUGCCUUAUUUUUCUUGCAACGAAGCACAUUUGACACUGAGCAUAACAACAUGAAAGAAACUGGUAUUAAAUUACAAAAAAAUAAAAUAUAGUAAGACAAGUUCA